rnacentral:rRNA from 1 species
GAUGAACGCUAGCGGCAGGCUUAAUACAUGCAAGUUGAGGGGCAGCAUGAUAUACGCGAGUAUAUUGAUGGCGACCGGCGGACGGGUGAGUAAUAGGUAGGAGACCUACCUCAUACAGGGGGAUAGCAUAGAGAAAUCUGUGGUAAUACCCCAUGAGGUUAUAUGAAUAGAGGCAUAUAAUCAAAGCAUAAGCGAUUAUGCGGUAUGAGAGGGGCCUACUGACCAUUAGCUAGUUGGUGAGGUAAGGGCUCACCAAGGCGAAGAUGGUUAGGGGUUUUGAGAGAGAGACCCCCCACAUUGGAACUGAGAGACGGUCCAGACUCCUACGGGAGGCAGCAGUAGGGAAUAUUGGGCAAUGGGCGAAAGCCUGACCCAGCCAUGCCGCGUGAAGGAAGACGGCCUUAUGGGUUAUAAACUUCUUUACUACGCGAAUAGAGGUUAGUACGAGAUACUAAUAGGAAGGUAGUGUAAGUAAAAGCACCGGCUAACUCCGUG